CCUACGUGUGGCAGCAGUAGGGAAUCUUCCACAAUGGGCGCAAGCCUGAUGGAGCAACACCGCGUGAGUGAAGAAGGGUUUCGGCUCGUAAAGCUCUGUUGUUGGAGAAGAACGUGCGUGAGAGUAACUGUUCACGCGGUGACGGUCUCAACCCAGACAGUCACGGCUAACUACUUGCCAGCAGCCGCGGUAAUCCGUAGGUGGCAAGCGUUUUCCGGAUUUUUUGGGCGUAAAGCGAGGGCAGGCGGUUGCUUAGGUCUGAUGUGAAAGCCUUCGGCUUAACCGAAGAAGGGCAUCGGAAAACGGGCGACUUGAGUGCAGAAGAGGACAGUGGAACUCCAGGUGUAGCGGUGGAAUGCGUAGAUAUAUGGAAGAACACCAGUGGCGAAGGCGGCUGGCUGGUCUGCAACUGACGCUGAGGCUCGAAAGCAUGGGUAGCGAACAGGAUUAGAUACCCCAGUAGUC
rnacentral:rRNA from 1 species